rnacentral:tRNA from 1 species
GCCAACGUAGCUCAGUCGGUAGAGCAGCUCACUCGUAAUGAGCAGGUCACCGGUUCGAUUCCGGUCGUUGGCU